rnacentral:lncRNA from 1 species
GGUUUUGUCCACAAAAAUAUAUAUGUCUUGUAUAGUUAGAUACCUGUAUUUUAUUUCUCCGUUUGUGUCCUAUUUUCGAUUAUUUCCUUUUUUUUUCUAAUUUUGACAUUUCGAGAAUUUUAUUAUUGUGAAUUUACAUGAACUUAACGUGACAAACACAGACCUGUUCUGUUGAAUUCCAUAUACUCCAAAUGAAUUGAAAC